ensembl:lncRNA
GUUUUGUUUGCUGUUUAUUGCAUGUGCUUUUGCAAGGGUGUAGCUUGGCAGCAGAGGAGGCUGCAGGCUAGUCUUGUCCUUGUAGGAAGGACAGAAGGAUUCUGAAAGAGCCCUUCUCAAGGAACUUUCUGCAGGAGUGUGUGGAUGGCGGGGGGAGAGGCACAAAGAAAUGACCAAGCGAGGAGUGAGCCCUCUGGGAGAGCAAAGCUUGCCAGCUGGGAGACAGGAGAAAGCAGCCAGGAACCUCCGAGGGGAGUGGAGAUGGACAAGGAGCCUGGCUGGGGCGGCACUAAGUCUGCUGCAAGCCAGCCAGCCCCUGAGCUGGUGAACUGGAACCAGCCUGGGAGAAAGGACAUGACCGUGGAGACAGGAAGAGGUUUGCCCUCCAGAGAAGUAAAUUGACUCAAAACAGAUCAACUGAAAACAGAUGCAUUGAAAUGUUGCUGCUGCUUGCCUCGCUGAAGGAAGUCUCUCAGAGGAAAGGCGUGGGUUGUAUCAACUGGAAGGAGAAUAUCAAACUCCAUCUGCCCCAGCUGUGAUAACCGUCUUGCAGCCAAUUGUGGCACAGAACAAGAGUUAGGGACUGAGACCCUAAGGAACAUAUUUGAAAUGCUGCCAAUUUAGCCAGUUUCCUCCUACUCCUGAAUUAAGCUGCAAACUUGUCAAUGAAAAAGCUGGAUAGUAUGGAAGCCCAGUAAAAUGUGAGCUGGAAAAGUAGUGUUACCAUGGCUUAUCAGAAAUCGAAGAGUACGUCCCAUUGAUCUAUCAUAAAGGUCAUUUAAGAGUACUUCCUUUCUUUCAGAUGGGAAAAGGAGGCUUAAAAAAAGUCAAACUCAGAAACAGAAUGAAAUAUGCAUUGAUGAGUAGGCAGACCAAGAGGAAAUUAAUAUUUGGGGCACCCAAGGCCUAUUGCAGCCACGUUGCCCUUGCCUCAGGGAUGAGCUGUCUGUGGACAGCUGGCCCCUAGCUUUACAUCUUAAAAACAGUGGAAACUACGCCUACAAUUUUACUUUACUUUAGUCCUGCGGCUUCAUUUAAAUGUAUAUGAGAUCUAAAUACAAUCUUCCACUGUGAGCUUUGUAGCAUGGAUGCUCUGUAUGGCUUCUUUAUGUCAUGUUAGUACAAAGUGACAGUAAUCCAUGACUGAAUACUCUUGAUAAAUUUCUGGAGGUCAGUUUGGAGCCAAGUGCAGCAAAUGAUUAUCUGUGGCUGUUCCUUCUACUGGUGCCUGUGGACUUCAAAGAAAAAAAAAAAAUCAAGGCCUGGAUUCCUGAAGAAGUGCUGAGAGGGAGCCUUUCAGAUGGACAUGGAACAAAGUGGAUAUGACACGGCCUGGGAAGAGCAAGACAGAGCUUAUGUUGAUCAAGAAGAGAAGACACUUUGCCUAUUGGUAUCUUCUGUAAGUCUCUUGCACCACCAAAUUUUGAGGGAGCUGGAGCAAGAAAAGCAACAGAAAAUGUAAUUCUGCAGCAUUGCUGUAAAGAAUAAGUUGACACUUCGCUGAACAUGAGACAGCAGUGUGCUCAGGUGGCCAAGAAGGCCACUGGCACCCUGGCUUCUAUCAGAAAUACUGUUGCCAGCAGGAGCAGGGAGGUGAUCAUCCCUUUAUACUCAGCACUGGUGAGGCUGCACCUCAAGUACUGUGUACAGUUUUGGGCCCUUCACUACAAGAAAGAUAUCAAGGCCCUGAAGUGUGUUCAGAGAAGGGCAACAAAACUGUGAGGGGUCUGGAGCACAAAUCUUAUGAGGAUUUGGUGGGGGAAUUGAGAUUGUUCAGUCUAGAGAAGAGGAGGCUCAGGGGAGACCUCAUUGCUCUCUACAACAAAAAGGAGAUUAUGGUGAGGAUCAACCUCUUCUCCCAUGAAACUAGUGAUAGGACUAGAGGGAAUGGCCUCAAGCUGCUCCAGGGAAGGUUCAGGUUGGAAGUUAGGAAAAAUUUCUUCAACGAAAAGUGUGGUCAGACACUGGAAUGGGCUGCGCAGGGAGGUGAUUAAGUCACCAUCUUUGCAGGUGAUCAAGAGACAUUUAGGUGUUGUGCUAAGGCACAUGAUUUAGUGGGGGAGUAUUGGCGAUAGGUUGAUGGUUGGACUGGAUGAUCUUGGAGGUUUUUUCCUACCUUGAUGAUUCUGUGAUUCUAAGAACAAUCAUUGCUAAAACUGGUAGAUCUUUUACCGAGUAACUUCAGAAGCUUGAGUUACAAUUUCAGUUAGUUUAUUUUGGCUAUCAUUUAGCUAAUUAAGGAAUCCAAACAAUGUCAAGUGCUGAUCAAUCACGGAGCUAAACACAAUUCCUGUCCUUCAGAACUUGCUGCUUAACAAACAUACAUAUUCAACAGGUGAGCCAAAAUAAGGUGCAUCUGGAUCCAAAUCAUACCUGGUGUUAUUUAGUUAGUUGUAAUAAAGCCUGUUAUUACUGAGAACAGAGAUGUUGUUUUUGCAGAGCUGCACAAAGGUUGUUGUUGAAAGUCAUUCUGUUUUUGCUCAGGCAUUGCAGCUCAUCUGGAAUUUUGAU